rnacentral:misc_RNA from 1 species
GAUUUGAUGGAUGGUGGCACCUUGCUGGUGCAAUUCUGAUGUUGGGUAUCUAUUGAAGUGGACCAUUGGAGUAGAUGAAAUAUGGAUCUGUGGGGAGACGGGACUGACUAUUUUUAUUCUGUUAUUCUUGUAUGCGUUAAGUCCCGCAUUUACGGGUGCCAGUAAGAGUUUUCCUCAGCAGCUGGCUUUCAAAUGUUCACGGUGACCUAUCACUCCCACCACCCCACUCCUCCUCUACCCCCACUUUUCUCCCCUCCUUAUACUUUUUUUUUCCUCUUUCCAGAUUAUGAG